AGUGAACGCUGGCGGUAGGCCUAACACAUGCAAGUCGAACGGCAGCACAGUAAGAGCUUGCUCUUACGGGUGGCGAGUGGCGGACGGGUGAGGAAUACAUCGGAAUCUACUUUUUCGUGGGGGAUAACGUAGGGUAACUUACGCUAAUACCGCAUACGACCUACGGGUGAAAGCAGGGGAUCUUCGGACCUUGCGCGAUUGAAUGAGCCGAUGUCGGAUUAGCUAGUUGGCGGGGGAAAGGCCCACCAAGGCGACGAUCCGUAGCUGGUCUGAGAGGAUGAUCAGCCACACGGGAACUGAGACACGGUCCAGACUCCUACGGGAGGAAGCGGUGGAGAAUAUUGGAGAAUGGGCGAAAGCGUGAUACAGCCAUACCGCGUGGGUGAAGAAGGAGUUCGGGUUGUAAAGCCCUUUUGUUGGGAAAGAAAAGCAGCAGGUUAAUACGCCGCUGUUCUGACGGUACCCAAAGAAUAAGCACCGGCUAACUUCGUG
rnacentral:rRNA from 1 species